rnacentral:rRNA from 1 species
AGCUCCAAUAGCGUAUAUUUAAGUUGUUGCAGUUAAAAAGCUCGUAGUUGGAUUUCGGGCGUGGAGGUUCGGUCCGCCGUUUCGGUGUGCACUGUCUGUCUGCGUCUUUCUGCCGGGGACGCGCUUCUGGCCUUAAUUGGCUGGGACGUGGAUUCGGCGAUGUUACUUUGAAAAAAUUAGAGUGUUCAAAGCAAGCUAAAGCUCUGAAUACAUUAGCAUGGAAUAACGCGAGAGGACUCGGUCCUUAUUUUGUUGGUCUUCAAGGAUUGAGUAAUGAUUAAGAGGGACAGUUGGGGGCAUUCGUAUUUCAUUGUCAGAGGUGAAAUUCUUGGAUUUAUGAAAGACGAACUUCUGCGAAAGCAUUUGCCAAGGAUGUUUUCA